rnacentral:rRNA from 1 species
CGUGGGAACGUACCCUUUUCUACGGAAUAGCCUUUGGAAACGAAGAGUAAUACCGUAUACGCCCUUUGGGGGAAAGCUUUAUCGGAGAAGGAUCGGCCCGCGUUAGAUCAGAUAGUUGGUGGGGUAACGGCCUACCAAGUCUACGAUCUAUAGCUGGUUUUAGAGGAUGAUCAGCAACACUGGGACUGAGACACGGCCCAGACUCCUACGGGAGGCAGCAGUGGGGAAUCCUAGACAAUGGGCGCAAGCCUGAUCUAGCCAUGCCGUACGUGAGUGAUGAAGGCCUUAGGGUCGUAAAGCUCUUUCGCCUGUGAUGAUAAUGACAGUAGCAGGUAAAGAAACCCCGGCUAACUCCGUGCCAGCAGCCGCGGUAAUACGGAGGGGGUUAGCGUUGUUCGGAAUUACUGGGCGUAAAGCGCACGUAGGCGGAUUGGAAAGUUGGGGGUGAAAUCCCGGGGCUCAACCCCGGAACUGCCUCCAAAACUAUCAGUCUAGAGUUCGAGAGAGGUGAGUGGAAUUCCAAGUGUAGAGGUGAAAUUCGUAGAUAUUUUGGAGGAACACCAGUGGCGAAGGCGGCUCACUGGCUCGAUACUGACGCUGAGGUGCGAAAGUGUGGGGAGCAAACAGGAUUAGAUACCCUGGUAGUCCACACCGUAAACGAUGAAUGCCAGUCGUCGGGCAGUAUACUGUUCGGUGACACACCUAACGGAUUAAGCAUUCCGCCUGGGGAGUACGGUCGCAAGAUUAAACUCAAAGGAAUUGACGGGGGCCCGCACAAGCGGUGGAGCAUGUGGUUUAAAUUCGAAGCAACGCGCAGAACCUUACCAACCCUUGACAUACUCGUCGUCGCUCCAGAG